GGCGGCGUUGGAACAGAUGCAGCUUCUGAGCUUUUCAUACAGGGAAGAGAAGAAGUUGAUGAUGAAAAUUAUGGAGUUACUAAUGACAGCAAAAUAACAGAUGAGGAGUUUAACGAGAGCUUUGCUGCUAAACAUUGAAUUAUGAAAUGUACAUCAAAAAGUGUUGAUAGAAAAUAUGUGUUUCAUUUACCUGACACAUUCCCAAAGACUCAAAGUAUCUUGAGGUACGUUAUUCCGCUCGUCAUCCUGCCCCUCCCCCACCUCCUCUGGUCUCUCAUACAGCUGUGUGUUUGG